rnacentral:ncRNA from 1 species
UCUGCAGGAGAGAGGUCAUUGCUGGCCCGCCGAAGGCGCAAACUCCCAUAAACGCUCAGGCACCCGGACUGCAGAA